GCCAUUGUUCUUCGUCGAUCCGCCCUGGAGUACGUUGCCCCUCUCGCCCCUCAAUGUUGGCUUGCUAGAUCCAUCGUGGGGUGGUUGGAUUUGUCGCCGUUCAACUUCUUCGGCUGAAUCUUGUCGAUGUCUAGCUUCUUCGGUCGUCAGCUCGCCAUCGUACCUUCGUCUCACUCCUCCUCAGGGAAUAGCCACCAAAACUUUGAUCUCAACUCCUAGGAAGAAAGCUUUCCCUUCCUUGGUUCAUACACUGGAUUCCUUCAACAGAAUUUUGGGGUCGCUGAGCAUGGAAUGCCUACAUUAACCCAUAUAGGCUGAUCUCGUCCCGACACUUUUAAUCAUCCUCGUUUUAGUGAUGGUAGUGCUCGAGCUCGCCAUAGCAGUUCACGUUCCAGCAACUGUCAUGGUAGCUCAUUACACAUUGGAGCCUAGUCCAGUAGGCAAACCUUGAGGUUGUGCUUGCAAACUGGUUCCAAGUUCCUUCUCUAGAGAUGGGAGUCUGAGGGCGUGGGAGAUUUAGGCCAAUGGACCAUAUCUCAGAAGAAUACAACAAUGAAGAUGAAGAAGACAACCCCAUACAGAUGGUAUGUUAUAUGUUAUUUGUGUAUGUUUAAUUUCAGGAGAUUAUGUUUAUGUC